UACGUAGGGGGCAAGCGUUGUCCGGAAUCAUUGGGCGUAAAGAGCGCGUAGGCGGUUAGUUAAGUCUGGCGUGAAAGCUCUCGGCUAAACCGGGAGAGGUCGUUGGAUACUGGCAAACUAGAGGACGGUAGAGGCGUGUGGAAUUCCGGGUGUAGUGGUGCAAUGCGUAGAGAUCCGGAGGAACCCCAGUGGCGAAGGCGACACGCUGGGCCGUACCUGACGCUAAAGCGCGACAGCAUGGGGAGCAAACGGG
rnacentral:rRNA from 1 species